rnacentral:rRNA from 1 species
UUGAAGGUCUGGCCUGCCCAAUGAAGUUUAAAUGGCCGCAGUAUUUUGACUGUGCAAAGGUAGCAUAAUCAUUAGUUUUUUAAUUAGAAGCUGGAAUGAAAGGUUUGAUGAGAAAUUAACUGUCUCAUAAUUAUUAAUAUUGAAUUUUAUUUUUGAGUUAAAAAGCUUAAAUUUUAUAUAGGGACGAGAAGACCCUAUAGAGUUUUAUUAAUUUCUUUUUUUUUUAGAGAUGGUUGUAAAUUAAGAAUUGAGUUAAUUUUGUUGGGGUGAUAGAGAAAUUUAUUAAACUUUUUUUUUAUUUUUACACUUAUGAGUGAUUUUUUGAUCCUUAUUUUGAGAUUAUAAGAUUAAAUUACCUUAGGGAUAACAGCGUAAUUUCUUUUGAAAGUUCAUAUUUAUAAAGGAGUUUGCGACCUCGAUGUUGGAUUAAAGUUAAUUUUUGGUGUAGAGGCUAAAAAAUUAGGUCUGUUCGACCUUUAAAACUUUACA